rnacentral:rRNA from 1 species
AUUGAACGCUGGCGGCAGGCUUAACACAUGCAAGUCGAGCGGGGUGAUGGUGCUUGCACUAUCACUUAGCGGCGGACGGGUGAGUAAUGCUUAGGAAUCUGCCUAUUAGCGGGGGACAACAUCUCGAAAGGGAUGCUAAUACCGCAUACGUCCUACGGGAGAAAGCAGGGGAUCACUUGUGACCUUGCGCUAAUAGAUGAGCCUAAGUCAGAUUAGCUAGUUGGUGGGGUAAAGGCCUACCAAGGCGACGAUCUGUAGCGGGUCUGAGAGGAUGAUGCGCCACACUGGGACUGAGACACGGCCCAGACUGCUACGGGAGGCAGCAGUGGGGAAUAUUGGACAAUGGGGGGAACCCUGAUCCAGCCAUGCCGCGUGUGUGAAGAAGGCCUUAUGGUUGUAAAGCACUUUAAGCGAGGAGGAGGCUCUGUUGGUUAAUACCCAAGAUGAGUGGACGUUACUCGCAGAAUAAGCACCGGCUAACUCUGUGCCAGCCGCCGCGGUAA